UGUAUUGAAGUAGAUGACAUAAUCAUUCACUCAGAUAACAACAUAAUCUAGUAUAAAAUGGGCAUAUAUUAUAGCAUAAAGUUGUAUUUGUAUAUAAAACUUUAUUUAUCCUUAUAGAUACAAGCCUAUUGCUCAUAUGUUUCUAUCAUCAUAAGUAACUGUAAGGUCAUGUGUUUCUGAUAUGGCACACGCUCACGUACAUGUGAUUAUGAUUAUCACAGUAAACCAUAACAUUUUAUCACUGUACAACUCUUUCAUCGAUAAUACACCAAGCACAAUAGAUAUCAACAAUAAGUAUGUCAGCUAUGUAGGAAUGAUGAGUCACCGAAAAUGAGAGAAAAGUUGAGAUUUCGCCAGCUUCAAAAAUAACCAUGGAAUCUGGGAGAAUCUAUGGCGGGUGUCAGAUGAUCCCUCCACAAGUCCUUGUUUUGCUGAUUUUUGAUCUAGACUACAUAGUAUCCUUCUGAUCUUCUUUGAAUCUGAACUGUUACAACUGAAAACUAGUUUAAUAACCUGAACUUGGCAGGCACGAGCCAACAACACACACAACCUUCCAUUUUGGCUGCAGCACAGCGAUUGAGUAACCACUAGUAUGGAUGAUAUCAGGAAAGGUGCAGGUCUUUCACAGGGAUGACUCAGUGCACCUUACUCAUGCUGCCUUCCUGCAGAGCAUCAAUGUGUAAUUCCAGAAGGGCAAUAGUUCCAUCAACAGGUCUUGGACGGCCGACAAAUUGCCUUCGCUUAGAGGAUGAAUGGAAACAAGUUUUCUGGCUGUCGAUACUGCACAGUGCAUCCGUCAGCAAUGUUGAUAAAUGCUCUGCGACUUUCUUACUUGUAGCUUUUCUUAGUAAACUGAGGAGACUGAUUGUCUACAUAAUUUGCGAUAGAAAAACUUUUGUUCAUUUUCAAUGAUACCUCACAAGAAUAUGAGAAGACUUAUGAGGUAACAAUUGGAGAGUUACUAACUGUUGGAUAUCAAUAAAAAAUGUUCAAUAACAUUAACUUUCCUGAGACUAGUAAUAAUUAUUUAUGCCAAUGUUCCAAGACAACUUUAUUAUUUAUCAUAUUGAUUGCUAACGUAUUACUACACAUAACACACAUAUUCUUGUAGACAACCGAAGGCCUACUAAUCAAAAUAAAAUGUAC